UUGGAGGGCAAGUCUGGUGCCAGCAGCCGCGGUAAUUCCAGCUCCAAUAGCGUAUAUUAAAGUUGCUGCAGUUAAAAAGCUCGUAGUUGAAUUUCGGGACCAUCAUGUCGGUCGUGCCUCGGUACGUACUGGUAUUGUUGGUUUCUCCCUUCUGACGAACCAUGAUGUCAUUUAUUUGGUGUUGUGGGGAAUCAGGACUGUUACUUUGAAAAAAUUAGAGUGUUUAAGGCAGGCUCACGCUUGAAUACAUUAGCAUGGAAUAAUGAAAUAGGACGUUUGAUUCUAUUUUGUUGGUUUCUAGGAUCGACGUAAUGAUUAAUAGGGAUAGUUGGGGGCAUUAGUAUUCAAUUGUCAGAGGUGAAAUUCUUGGAUUUAUUGAAGACUAACUACUGCGAAAGCAUUUGCCAAGGAUGUUUUCAUUAAUCAAGAACGAAAGUUAGGGGAUCGAAGACGAUCAGAUACCGUCGUAGUCUUAACCAUAAACUAUGCCGACUAGGGAUCGGAUGAUGUUAAUUUUUUAAUGACUCAUUCGGCGCCUUACGGGAAAC
rnacentral:rRNA from 1 species